GAGUGUCUAAGUUAGUGAGAAAUGAUUGCUUUGUAAUCAGUAAAGUUCCUAAAACUUCCGAGAGAUGGCGCUGUGCCCAAAGGGUACAAAGUUACAUCGCACUAUCAUUUGUUCUAUACUAUUCAUGCAGAUCAAGGUCUUAUACUCAUGUUCAGUAUUUGUUCAAUAUAGUGUUUGAGAAGAAUAAAGGUGCAAGUGCAA